UACGUAGGUGGCAAGCGUUGUCCGGAUUUACUGGGUGUAAAGGGCGUGUAGCUGGGCUGACAAGUCAGAUGUGAAAUCCGGGGGCUCAACCCCCGAACUGCAUUUGAAACUGUUGGUCUUGAGUAUCGGAGAGGCAGGCGGAAUUCCUAGUGUAGCGGUGAAAUGCGUAGAUAUUAGGAGGAACACCAGUGGCGAAGGCGGCCUGCUGGACGACAACUGACGGUGAGGCGCGAAAGCGUGGGGAGCAAACAGG
rnacentral:rRNA from 1 species